AUGGGGGAGAGAGAGCCCUCACUCCUGGCCCAGUCCCCUGAUGGUGCACUCUCUCUCAGGGGUAACAUCCCAGCGGGAAGCUGGAGGCACCAGCCCACCCUGGAGCAGCCCACUGUGUGGGGACUGUGUCUGCAGGAGCCUCUGACUAAACACGCAGGUGUAGUUCCAGUGACAGCACAGUGGGAGGACUGCCCAGCGCCAGGUCCCAAAUGUCCAUCCUUCUGCUUCACUGUAGACUGAGCAGCAUUUCCCGUGCUCUGUGGGUAGAAGGGCCCAGUUCCUUCUGGCACACAGACUCCAGGACACGGUGGGAAACGGAGCACCAGGAGGAGGAUGUGAAGCCAAAGUGAAAGGAGAGCUGGAGGUUUGCGCAAAAGCAACGGGGCAGGAGGUCCCAUCGCGGCUCAGCGGAAACGAAUCUGAAUAGCAUCCAUGAGGACACAGGUUCGAUCCCUGGCCUUGCUCAGUGGGUUAAAGAUCUGGCGUUGCCAUGAGCUGUGGUGUAGGUCACAGACCUGGCUCAGAUCUAGCGUUGCUAUGCCUGUGGUGUAGGCUGGCAGCUACAGUUCUGAUUCAACCCCUCGGUUGGGAACUUCCAUAUGCCAUGGGUGAGGCCCUUAAAAAAAAGCGGGGAAGGGAGUUCCUGUCGUGGUGCAGUGGUUAACGAAUCCGAAUAGGAACCACGAUGUUGGGGGUUCAAUCCCUGGCCUUGCUCAGUGGGUUAACGAUCCGGCAUUGCCGUGAAUUUUGGUGUAGGUCGCAGACACGGCUCCGAUCCCGAGUUGCUGUGGGGUCCGAUUCGACCCCUAGCCUGGGAACCUCCACAUGCCGCGGAAGCGGCCAAAGAAAUAGCAAAAAGACAAAAAACAAAAACAAAAAAAACGGGGAGGGCAAAGCACCUCAUGGACUAUAAACUGUCACUAUGUGCAGGCUUUAUCCUGUAUGCUUUACAUUUAAUCCUCAUGAGAACUCUGCACCCCCAUUUUGCAGAUGAAGAAACAGGCACAGAGAGGGUAAGUAACUUGUCAGAAUUUUCACAGCUAGCACCUGCUUGAGCCAGGACUUGAACCUGGGCACGCUGACACCAAGAGGCCCUGCGCUUUACUGUUGCACCAGGCAGCGAUCUGGUGACCCCAGGGAAAGUUCCCACAAAAUGUUUCUCACCCACGUAGAGUCAUCUGGCAAAAAUAGAGCUGGAGGAGGUGGCAAGAGUCUAGUCCUACUCCCAACUCAGCUAUUAAUGUUCCACUCAAAUCCCAACAAGGCAUCUGGAAGCGGUCUGGGUCUUGGCAUCCUGGGGUAAUUUGGGGUGGGGGCGGGGUGGGGCAGUCGCAGCGGGUGAAGUUUAAGAGAGGCUUCAAUUCCAAUGUGAAAAACGUCCCCCUGAAAUCAAGAGUUUUCCCACCGACACUAGGUGGUGGUUUGUGUAGGUCAGUAGAGACAGAUCUAGAGGAAGUUGGAGGCUUCCAAAUCAGAGAAAAGUUGUUUUGCAAAAUAUUUUCAAAGACGAAGCGAACUUGUUAAAAACAAUGGAGGCAUUUUCUCUUCUUUCCAAAGGAAAUGAUUCAACCGAACCAAAGGUCACUUAACGAAAGAGACGAAUUCAAUCACGUUAGAAACAUUAGAGAUUCUGCAACUCUUCACAGCCAGCUGGAGAAACAGCCCUGGGCUUCUGCUGUGUGUGUGUGUGUGUGUGUGUGUGUGUGUGUGUGUGUGUGUGUGUGUGUGUGUGUGUGUGUUCCUUCUAGAGGAUUCUGCUCAAAACUACCUACAUGUUGAAUUCGUUGAGGUACGUGUGGCUGAAAUCUCAGCUGCGUCUGUCCACCGAUGCCACCUAGAAACACGGAGACAAGAGUUGGAGGAAACAGAACUAGAAGCUUUAAUUGCCAGGCAAAGAGGGAACACAGCAGGCUAGUGCCUCCAGGUCUGUGCUCGCCCCUAGAGGGGGUAGUGAGGAGUCUUAUGGUAUUUGAGGAGCAGGGCGUGAUCAGCUCAUGGACAUUUUUCUGAUCCGUGGGUGGUGAGAUAAUUGGAGUCAGCAUCGUCAGCCUUCUGGUUCCCACGCGUGCUUGUGGGCAGCAUAAAAAAGUUGACUUCUUCUACCCAGUGGGGCUUCAGCACCUGCAAAAGAGCUGCAAGGACACGGCUCAGAAUAUUAUCUAUAGUCUUUGAAGAACUGAAGGUCCUUGACUUUGUUGAAUGGCUGAAUUAUUAUUACUGUUUUCUUUUUUCUAUGUAUUUUUUCACUUCCCGCAUUAAAUUGGUUCUUGGACUAAAGUUUUUCUAUAAAUAAACAGGCAGGUGGAGGACA
rnacentral:lncRNA from 1 species